rnacentral:lncRNA from 1 species
CAUAAGCUUAAGUAUAAAUUAACAAAGAAACUCAGGUACAAACUAACAAAGAAACAGUAUUAGCAAUCUUUCUCUUAGUUUUCUCUAUGCAGGAGGUGGAAGCGUGCCGUUUAUGAAUGAGGAGAAUAGCACCAGGGCCCGAGCUGGCUGAUAACUUGGAACAAAAUGUCCGGCGCCUCUUACAGUCACAAAUGUCAGGUUUUGAUAUCCAACAGCAUAUCCUCCGACCUUAACAUGAAACAAAUCUACUUUAGUUUAAUGAUAAGAAUACCUUUUUCAAAUUAAAACGAAUGCUUAGUUUCGCGAAACCUUACCUCUCCCUGAGUGUACCAGGGGUACCAGGCCGUCCUAACCGGUGUCCCCAAUUUUUUAACGGCAUACCUAGUGCAUGUCACUGGCAAGGCACCAUCUGUGUCGCCACUGCAUAUUAUGGUAAACACUAAUUAAUUAAAGCUUGAAUACUGAAAUGACUUAAUUUUUCAUAGGAUGAACAUUUUCACUUACAUUGCCGUACCUGUAUACCCAUAUGCGGAUCCCUUCAGCCAUCAGCUCCUGAAUGAUUGGCAACACGGUUUGUGGUUUAUCUUUCCAAUUUCGAUUUAUUUCUCCACUGUUUUUAGAGGUAGCAUGAAAUCAAAAGACAAAUAUCUGAUUUAGAAAAUUAUGAGACUGCAAGAUACUAAUUGAAACUUAACUUAUAAUUGGUAUAUAGGGCAGUGCCUGCAGGAUUGCAAUGGAUAAGGAAGACCGGUGACAUUUGCAUGUAGAGCUUCCUGAACUCGAGGAAUGUUCAAGUAUGUUUCAAUAUAAUUUUCUGAGCAGGGAUCAAAUGUCGAAACCUGUUUGCUAUUUCCUGUUAGCAGAGGGAUCAACAUACUCAAAAAAAAAAAAAAAACUAUAGAUAUGCUGCAUUAGAUAAUUUAUCCGUG